UACGUAGGGACCGAGCGUUGUCCGGAAUCAUUGGGCGUAAAGAGCGUGUAGGCGGCCUGUUAAGUCUUGCGUGAAAUCUCGGGGCUCAACCCCGAGCGGUCGUGAGAAACUGGCAGGCUAGAGUGCGGGAGAGGAGAGUGGAAUUCCUGGUGUAGCGGUGAAAUGCGCAGAUAUCAGGAAGAACACCAAUGGCGAAAGCAGCUCUCUGGGACGGUACUGACGCUGAGACGCGAAAGCGUGGGGAGCGAACAGG
rnacentral:rRNA from 1 species